rnacentral:lncRNA from 1 species
AAAGUCAUAACUUUAACGAAGAAGUAUUCUUUUCAUUUCCAAAAUUAAUAUAUCAUAUAUGUGUCUAUAUAUAUAUAUAUAUAUAUAUUCAAAUUUAGGAACAUGAUUAACUCCCACUAAUCUUUUGUAAACCUAGUAAACAAAAGAUUCAUUUACAUCUUUAUGAGAUAUCAAACGAUUUGAUCUUUUCUCUCAUAAGACGCUUAUAGCUCCCACUAGCUUGCUAAGAUUCAUGAUGGAUGCAUCUCUACAACUUACAUGUCUUGUGAUUCAUAGUUUUAGACAUAUAUUAUCAAGACUAUCUUAAUAAUUGUUUCGGAAACCCAUAUUAUGUCCAAACAUUGAAUCACCAUUUAGUUGUAGCUAGCAAUCUUCGAAUUAAUUGAAACCAAGACUACGUUAAAGAUGGUUUCUUCAAAGUCAACCAAUCUCUUUGAUUGUAGUCACCUUAAGCUACCAAUUAGCUAUAAAGGUUUCAUUAUUUCGGGUCAAAUGGUACUUUACCAUUUCCUUGAGUAUAUGUCGUAUAUACACUCAAUGUAGUCAUAAGGAUUUUCAUUCUUAUUUUUUUUGAAUUAAGAGGUGUAACUCUAUGACAUAAUCAUAAAGUUCAAACCAUUCAACUGAGACAGUUUAUAAUCCUUCUCGACUACCUUGGAGCUUGUGGUAUAGGAACUAGGUUGUUAUAUUUGUUGAUCACUAUCUUGUCUCUCAAAGAACCCAUUCUUUGAGUUCUGUCCCUCGUUCAUUUGCUCUAUCUUAGGCAAAUCCUAGUGUAGGAUUACAAUGAACUACCCAACAAACAACAUUUGUUAGUUGGUUUAUAGAAGUGAUAUCCAAAUGUUAAUUUAAGGAUACCCACAAGAUAAUUCUUUAAACAAAUAUUGCUUAUUAGCACACAACCCCAAAUCUUAACAUGAUUAAGAUUUGUCUUUCUUUCCAACUACAUCCUAUGGAGUCAUGAAAAUUUUGGAAGAUCUUCUAAUUGAUAAUCAUAUUGUCUUAGAAGUGUAUAUCUUAUAUAUGGGUAAUUGAUAACAUCCAAUGAACUAAAUCUUAUUUGAGUUCGUUCUUCUCUUAAUGGAGAAAUCCAUUAUCUUAUGAUGCUUCUUUCCUUGAUAUCUUUCAAGGAAACUGUUCUAAAGUGUUACCUUUCCUUGGAUCAAAUCUAAGGAGGUAAAUACUUUAGACAUCUUACUCAUCAACUUACAUUUCUUGAAUUCUUUGAAACCUUUUGCAAAGUAUUCGGGCUUGUGUUUAUUCAAAAUAAAUGAUAGUCCAACCGAGAGCGAUCUUCGGUGAAUGUCAUACAACAUGAGUAGUAUUAUGUUGUGGACAAGUGCCACCAACAUCUAAGUGAAUUAACCUCAACAACUUUGUGAUUCUUUCUUCCUUUCCAAAAGAAUAAAGAUUCAAACAUUUUGCCACUAUACAAUUUUAACAAGAAGGCAUUGGAUCCGGAUCUAACGAUCCAAAGCAUCCAUCUAUGACCAACUCGUAAUUUAUGUUUUAGAGGUAUCACAACUCAGUUGGGAUUAGUCACUACCUUGCAACCCUUUGGGUUUUAAGCAUCAUUAUAUUCUAAACAGUUAACACUACCAUAUCAUCUCUACUAUAUUGAUAAUCAAUUAGAUUACAAUAAUCUAAUCAUUCAUUAAUAAAGAACAAUGUUUUGUCAAACAAAACAUUCAUCCAUCUCUCAUAGUGACGGAAUUAAGUUCCUUAAAAUUGGAAUGUAAAGACAAUAUUUGGUUUUUCCAUUUUCUAUGGUAGUUCAUAUGAGGAAGUAAGUACGAUCUGCUUUCGCAGAGAUCUACAUUUGAUUUACGUUCCGAAUGUGAAGUACUUUCUCUUCUUUCAUUAAUCUUCUACUUCUUAUUAGCCACACUUUUACAACGAUUGUAAAACAUAGUUGCUAAUACGGAAUCAAGCAUUCAAGUAGAAGAACCAACUAUUUUGAACUUUUCAAGAACAAUUUACAACACCUUCGAAAUGUGUGUUCUUGACACUUGCAAGACAUUUCUUGCAAAUACCCCUUCCAAUGUCCAUCCUUUCAUAAAGAAAGUUUGUUCCCAUGGAGUUAUUUCGCCUUCUUCUUUUGACUUCUCCUUUGACUACAAUAGUCAUGGUCCCUAAACUCUCACUAUCUCUUUUGAAACUUAUUUCAAUUGUGUUAUACACAUCAAACGAUUUGAAGAGCGUGUGGUUAUUGUUCACUAUAUAGUUUACAAUAAACUUAGUGAACCAUUUGGAUAGGGAUACAAAGGUGAAGUCUUUGCCUAGUUUCUGUCUCUAGAAGUGGUUUAACACUUCAACACUCAAUGAUUCAAAAUCAUCAUAAGUCCAUGUUGAUGGACUAUUUUUGUCAACCAACCAUUAUGUUCUAAACAUAAUUACAAACUUUCAAGAGUUGUUCAAGGCAACUCUCAUUUCUUCAUACAACAAUUUGUAAGUGAAGAAUCAUGGCACACAAAGUGUCCAUGUCCUUGUGCUUACUUCUUAAGUUCCUUGUUCAUGUAACAAAGAAACAAGCACUAAUGUUUGCGUUAGCUAAGGGUUGUUCAAAGCAACUCUUAUUUCUUCGUACAACAAUUUGUAAUUGAAGAAUUAUGACAUUAAAAGUGUUGUCCUCUUUAUGAUAGACUUAUCUAACAUGUUCUUCCAAUGAUACAUUAUCAAUAGGAAGAUUGCAGGGAUGAGACUACUUAGGUACAUAUACAAGCCAAUAUAGACAAUCUAUGGGAUUGUAGUACCAAGUCCAGAAACUAAAGCUUUCGGCUUUUUCUUUGUCAAGUUUAUGAUAGCGUUUGCAAAUAUGUUGGUAAAUAAAUACAUAACGAUUAUAAAUUGAUUGAUUUUAAGCCAUUUGAUUCGGGUGUUUAAAUCAAAUAGCAUCACCCACUAUUUUUGGCAAAUUCCAUAUCCCUCAUCGAAAUUUGAGAGUUUUGGAGGAAACUCUUAGUAGGGUAUGGGAGACUCAUCAUUACCAAGCCCACCUCACAAUGAUAUGAUGUUGGCUAGGAUCAAUAAUAAUGAGAGAGUAUGCUUACUCAUUUGCAUCUCUUGCAAGUACCCAUCUUAUUUGGCCUCUAGAGAAUGAACCCUCACAAUGAUAUGAUGUUGGCUCCAUUGCACUUAGUUAAGUCAUUCCCACCAUGCAAGUUCGAGUAGGGGGUUUAAGAACAACCUCACAAUGAUAUGAUGUUGGUCAUUCUCGUUGCCUACCUUCACAACAUCAUGUAUACAUGUAGAACUCCUCCUGAGUGUAAGCACGCACUUUGUACUCCCCCAUGAUAGGGUGAAGUCGGUGUACGAGUCACAAACGAUCGGAGCCUACCACGGUGGAAGGCCAGGAAAGAGUGUUCAAAGCACUCUCUCACGCUUAUCAACUUAAUAAUGGUUUGGUUGAGGGUUUUAGGUCUCAUCACAUAUAAGCAUGCAUUUUAAUCUUAUUAAAACAAUUUGGUCCUAUUACAACUAUUAGUCCAUGUGAUUGAUUUAGUUGUAUAUAAUACUCCCACUAUGCUUGUAAAACGGUUUUUAAAGCAAGAGUAUAUGGUACUACUAACAUAAGGUUUGCAUUCAUUGAUGGACUAUAUAGUUGCCUUAGGGCCUUAGGAUGACUAUGAACCUUUGAUUAGAUCCAACACGAGCCUAGUGUUGAAUCUCAGUCUAGGGAUGGUGAUUGAUUUUAGUUACGCGUUUAAUCAUAUUAAGGCGUGUUUUUUCCUAUUGGGCUUUGGACCCAACUACUCCAAUUUCAUGCAUAUCAAAUAAAACAAGAAAUGAGUACUUCAAAGUAAAGAAGAGCUUAUGCUCUCUUUUACAACAUUUGAUCAAAACAAAUUACUUUAAAGUAAAGAAGAGCUUAUGCUCUUUUACAACAUUUGAUCAUAUCAAAUUACAACCAAAAUCUAAUCUACACAUUCCCAUGGUUCAAACAAAUUUGAGAUGGCCUUUCACAUAGCUCAAUUAUCGUAGGCUUAGGUUCAUAAUCACCCUUUCUUUAAUUAAUUAACGCUUUAACUAAUUAAACUUGAAUGCAACAUUUUCAUUUGGUUUUUGUUUCCAUAGAAUUGAUUUAAAUGGAGCUAAAUGAAAUGAAAAUCCAAUUCUCAUUUAAAGAUACAAAACUAUUUUGUUCUCAACUAAUUUGGGCCAAAUGCAAUAACCACAACUUUUUGGGCUAUGUUGCAAAAUACAAACUUUCGAGGUCACUUUGUAAGAACACGAAAGUCCACUACUUCAUGUAAUUACAACUAGAACCCAAAAAUUUCAUCAAAUACAAAAACUUCAUUAAAGGAGCAAAACAAUUUGUCCUUUAGUGUUUUUGGGCCUUUACGUAAAAACGUAAACUUUCGGGUCAAAGUACAAAUACACAAAAGUAUCAAAACUUUAUGUAAUUGCAUAAAGCCCCAAAAGUACCCUAUUUUAAUAGGGUGGCCGGUUGGUGAGAGUGAAAAAGGAGGGCGGAAAAGGUUUUGGUGAAAAAUUCAAAAUUUGAAAGUGUUUUGUGAAAGUGGAUAGGUAGGUGAGGAAAAGUUGAUUGGGAUGGGUUGUAAAAAAAAUGUUUUGUCAAACAAUAAGGGCAUAAAUCAUCCAUCACCAAUCAAUAAUAAACCAAAACUCUAUUCAAAGCAACAAACAUAUUGAAUCAAAACACCAAAACUUUUUGUUCUUGGUAAGAACAUCAAGAACAUUGAAGAACACACAUGAAAACUUAUAAGAGCUCCAUGAAUGUUUUCACACAAUAAAAUUCAAAAUUUCAUUACUCAAAAGGGGGUUAACAUCCUAGGGUACUUAGGGGUUCCAAAAGUCACCUUAAAACACUUUUAAUAAGUUAAACAAGAACCCAAAAAAAACCACCCUUUGGAUUUGGCCGAAUUUCCCCAAAAACAUGGCACCAAAUUUUAGCUCCAAAAUUCAUGCUCAUAUGAACUACAUCUACAACAUUUGAGAUGGCAAAUUUUCUAACAAAAUUUACAUUCAAAGAAGCAAGAAUAAAGCUUGUAACAAUUACAACAUUCAAAUCAAAGACUAUGAAAAUACAAAACCCAAAAGGAUUCACCAACUACUAGACCUAGGCUCUUGAUACAACUUGAAGGAAAUUUUGUUAAAAACAUGUUCAUUUGAGCAACAUCUAUGGCAUGCAAUUAACAUUUAAAGGCAGAAUCAUGCUUGUAUGCCCUCAAAAACAAAACAUUACCCAUGAAAUUCAAAGCCUAGUAGAAAGGUGAACCAAGACUCAACUCAAGAACAAAGUGAGUUGAGAUAUUUGAUACCUUUGUUGAUUCCUCUUUGCAUAAGCAAAGGCUAAUCACCCAAGGAGAGGGCCUUCAUUCCUUGCUUCUUAGUUCCAUCGAUUUCUUGGAGGAGGAUGGUAGAAAGGAUUCUCCAAGUUCCCAAAAUUGAGAACCUCUAAGUUUUCCACACCAAGGAAGGAGUUGAAGAAGAGAUAAGUGACCUUGGGGGAUGAAAGAUUGCUAGCUAAUCUCCUCCAAGGGGACCGGCCUCUUAGAGAGAAAGGGAGAGACAUUGUGUUCUCAUCUUUUCUCUAAAAGAAACCCUAAGGAUGAAAUGGCUAUAAAGUUGCCUUUAUACCACCUCACAAUGGAGUGGCAAACUUGCAAUUAAAGCAAGUUCACUACCCUCCUCUAUUUGGCCGGCCUGAAGGGUUUAUUGGGCUUUCAAGCUCUUUGUUUAUUCAAGUUGUCAUGCAAGUUGAGUUAAUGGGCUUGACAUUCAAAUCCCAUUGGGCCUUGCGGCCCAAAACUAACCCGAGAUCUUUAACGAACUUUAUUCGAUUGAUUAAUUAACAUAUUAAUUAAUCCUUGCCAUAAAUAAUUAAACCAUUUAAUUAUCCUUACUCAUCUCCGUUGUUUCUUCAAUCUCUACCUUACACGAUGUACGAUCCAUUAGGUUCCUUUUAACGAGGCAGUGGGCGAUUGGAACUCUUUCAAAUCGAUUGUGAAUUGAAACUUACUUUCAAUUCUCCCUUUAGUGAUUAUACACGUUUAGGGCUUCCACAAACCAUGAGUGACACCUAGCAGUAUGUUAUGGUUACCCAAGCUAAUCAGAAGAGGUGGAGAACCUAUUCAGUUUAGGAUUACAAUGCAAUACGGUCUUUCUCUAAUACAAAACUCUUGACCACAUUGUUUGGUUUGAUAGUUUAAUCAUGUCUACUAUCCAAUGUGAUUCAUUUACUUAUAUGAUUACCUUGAAUGUGAUUUGGAAUGACUUCCUGAAUCUCAUUCAUACUCUGGCCAGAGAUUCUUAAUCAUAUCAUGGAGUAUUCUCCCUCAAACGGUUUGAAGGUUAGAGAUCCCUUGUGGCGCAUUCACUUGCCUCUAUGGCUAAGUGACUUAACCCCAACUAUGCCGUGGACACCCUCUGACACAGUGACUUUGACAUAGUCAAAGAUCAAUGACCUAACCACAAGACAACUAUGAUGCCUCAGGUCAAAAGACUACUUUGCAUUAUCCCAACCAUGAGUUCUCAUGUGACAUGAGUAUGAGAACUCCUCGUUGAUCGUGUUCAGUGGACUCAUUCUCUAUUGAGCACCUACAUGCUUGUCUUGGUGUCAAUCACACACCAAUGUCUCGAGACCAGUCACUCUCCCUGAGAGAAGAUACAGCACGUAUUGAUCUUAACGGACUGUCAAUGCCCAAUUGGAAUCCUAUGAUCAGGAACGUUUAGGAUAUGUAUACGGAAGAGAAUGGUCUCAUGAAUCUAACUUCUUUAAAUUACAUUCUCCUAAUUACAUAUUCCUUGGACUUAUCGUUUAAGCAUAUAACAUUUAUUUGAGACAGCUUAAAACAAUAAUCUUUGCCCUUGAUAUUAAACUAGAUUAGUUUAACAUGUGAAAUGUCCGUAAAGUAUCAUCAUAUGAUUGGUUUUAGGGCACAUUUCCAACAAAAAGAAGCUAAACCUAGACUCAUUCGUUGGAUGCUUCUACUUCAAGAGUUUGACAUUGAAAUUAAGGACAAGAAGGGGAGUGCCAUUGUGGUGGCUGAUCACUUAAGCAGAUUGGUGCAUGAAGAGGAGUCCAUUCCCAUUCCAGAAACAUUUCCAGAUGAGCAACUACUAUCCAUUCAAGUAAGUGAGCCUUGGUAUGCUGAUUUGGUCAAUUAUUUGGUGUCUAAACAAGUUCCUAACACCCUAAACAAGUUCCAACGUGAUAAACUUAAAAAGGAUGCUAGAUUUUAUGUUUGGGAUGACCCAUACUUAUGGAAAUACUGCCCAGAUCAGAUUCUAAGAAGGUGUGUUCUUGAGUCCGAAUUUCACUCAAUUUUAAGUUUCUGUCACACCUAUGCUUGUGGGGGCCAUUUUGGCACCCAAAGGACAGAAAGUGGUUUUUAUUGGCCUACUUUGUUUAAAGAUGCUAGAACUUUUUGUUUAACAUGUGAUCGUUGCCAAAGGACAGGUAAUAUAGGCUAAAGAAAUCAAAUGCCGCAGGUUCUCAUCCUUGUUGUUGAAAUAUUUGAUGUUUGGGGUAUUGAUUUUAUGGGUCCUUUUCCUUCAUCUUUUGGUUUCAAUUACAUAUUACUUGCGGUUGAUUAUGUUUCAAAGUGGGUGGAAGCAAAAGCCACCCGAACUAAUGAUUCUAAAGUUGUGGUAGAUUUUGUGAAAACUAAUAUCUUUUCCAGAUUUGGGAUGCCUAGGGUGCUCAUAAGUGAUGGGGGGUCUCAUUUUUGCAAUCGUACCAUUGAGGCGCUGCUUAAGAAGUACAAUGUGACGCAUAAGGUUUCCAUACCUUAUCACCCCCAAACAAAUAGCCAAGCCGAGGUGUCUAAUAGAGAGAUCAAACAGAUUUUGGAGAAGACCGUUGGGCCAAAUAGAAAAGAUUGGAGCUUACGUUUGGAUGAUGCACUAUGGGCGUAUCGCACGGCUUACAAAACCCCCAUUGGUAUGUCUCCCUUUCGGCUCGUUUAUGGCAAACCAUGCCAUCUUCCCGUGGAAUUAGAACAUAAGGCAUAUUGGGCUAUCAAGACCUUCAAUUUGAAUGUGGAUCAAGCUGGAAUUCAUAGAAAACUUCAAUUGAGUGAACUUGAAGAGAUUAGGCAUGAAGCUUAUGAGAAUGCUCAAAUUUACAAAGAGAAGACCACGACAUUCCAUGACAAGAUGAUUCAAGGCAAAACUUUCUCACUAGGGCAGAAAGUGUUGUUGUUCAACUCCCGUCUUUGUCUAUUCCCUGGUAAGUUACGUUCCAAGUGGGUUGGUCCGUUUGUUAUUACUCAUAUUUUUGUUCAUGGUGCAGUCCAAAUCAAAAGUUUGAAAAUGGGGUAAGAAUUCAAGGUGAAUGGGCACCGCUUGAAGCCAUACUAUGAGAACUUUGUGGAGCAUGUCGUGGAAGAGACACCCCUUCAUGCCGUGGGCUCUAAUGUAGAUUGAAGACGACUCGUCCGGCUGCAAGAUAUUAAAGAAAGCGAUUCUUGGGAGGCAACCCAUGCAUUCACCAAGGAGAAGAUGGAACUUUCAUUCCAAACCCAGAUUUGCGUUUCUACACUCUUCUCCUUGUUGUUUUAUUUUUUGUUUGUUUGUUUGUUUGUUUGUUUUUGGUGUGAGUUUAUGCUUGAAACAUUGAGAACAAUGUUUGAUUUAAGUGUGGGGGGGGGAGGGUAACCAAGUUGUUCCUUGUUAUUUUAGGUGUUUUAAGCUGUUUUGGAGUGUUUUAGAGUGUUUUGACUUAAAAAUCCGAAAAUCUCAUAAAAACUUGAAAAAGUGUUUUGAAAAGCCCAAAAAAGAGUUGUUUUUGUGUGUUUGUUUGUGUCUUAGGCUACCUUCCAACACAAUGAUGAGUAUUCGGUUUGUAAUUGCAUGACUAUUAAAGAGAGUUAUACACAUGGAUGAAAGUUUGAUUUGCUCCUUGAUUUAUGCUUGGUUGUGGUUAUAAUUUAUGAAUUCACAUGCGAAUUAAGGAAAAAUCAUUUUGUAACAUGCUUGAAGGAAGGAACUCAAAUAAACGCUACAACCUUGUGAGACUUGAGCCUAAAUGUUUAUUUGGAGAAUUAAUAAUCUGUGCAUCAUUGUUUUCUAAAGUCGUUGCAUGAUCUCAUUAUUAUUUGCUUGGUUACUACUUAGAAGGCGUUUCAUCAUUUAGUUCCAAAUGCUAGAACUCAUGCUCAUUUCAUUCAAAGCAUGCUAUUGAUUUGCAUAACACAUAUUCAAGAUGAAGUUGUGUAGUGACCACCACCAAAGCCAAAUUUCCGUGUAUCCUACUUCAUUAUAUGUUUAAGUUUAACCCCAUUGAGCCUUGUGUAGCCUAUGUUCUUUGUUAACCCACACUAUCCUCACCUAGCCUAGAUUAGGACCAUCCAUACCCUUGUUCUUGAAGCAUAGUAAACCAUGACUCAAAAUGAAUUCCUUUUGAUUAAUGUAUUGCAGAAAACAAGUGUGGGGGAAGUGAUUCUUGUUGUGUGUGUGUGUGCCAAAGUCCUUAAUAAGGCACGGGUAGAAAAGAAAAAGAAAAGAAAAAUUCGUGAAAAAUAGAAAGAAAAAAAAAGUUGUGAAAAGAGUGAAAAAGAGUUGAAAAAUGUAUGAAAAAGAGUUCUAAAGUGUUGUUUGUUGAAGAAAGGGCCCAAAACAUUGAAUUCAGCCCUAAGGGUUGCAUGAAUCUUCCCUUUGUGUUUAAAAGUUGAUUUCUGCAUUCUAAAGUGAAUUCUAAGUUUCGAUUUCAUUACUUUGCUUGCUAUUGCUUUAAGAACGUUUGUUAUCCCUAUCCUUCCUUUGUUAACCAAUACCCCAAGGCCCGUUUCAAACCUUGACUUCUAUCUUGAGUGUUAUGUGUUUCAAGUUGUGGAGUUUGAAUUUGGUAUGAGCAUAUGGUGUCACUGGUUCUUGCAUCUAAGUAGUAGCAUUCCAUUCAUGAGAUCAUAUCUAAACAUGCUUAUUAACUCUAGAAAUUGCUUUCUUUGUUAUACAUAUAUGUGAGCGUUCGUUUUCAUGUCUACAUCAAUCUUCUCACAUAUAACUAGUAUAGGGUGUGUAGUUAGAAAAUAUGAGUGAAAAUUGAGUGCAUAUCUUGUAAGGAAUUGAGCGAAUUCUCUAAGGCAUGUUACUACAUUCAAAACAUCGUUUUAAUUGGUUAAUUGUCAACUAGUAAGUGGUGACUAUGAUUAAGUAUGUGCUCAAGUGUGAAGAUGACUAAAAUCUAUGGGGAUGAAGAUUUUUAACAUGUCAUGUGCAUUGGAAAUCCCUGAGGCAAACGUUGGAAGGUUUAGGUUGUGUUUUGUUUCGUUUUUGUUUUCUUGAGUUCAUUUUGUUUUGCUCGAGGACUACCAAAUGCUAAGUGUGGGGGAAUUUGAUAGGAGCAUUAUUAUGCGACUUAAUUGGCUUGUUCUUGUGCAUUUACGUUGUGUUUAGUUAUUUUAGUGUUUAAAGUCAUUUUCGUGUGUUUUCAGAUUCUAAGGACAAAAUAUGCAAGAAGAUGCAUUUUGGAGCCUUUUGGAGCAAAAUUGGGCUUGGAAUGGUUAUCACAUGCUUGGAGCAAAAGGAAUGGACGAAAUUGAAGAUUUAAAGAAGUAAGGAUUCCUAAUCAACUAAGGAUUCCUAAUCAACGAAGGACUCCUAAUUGAAGAUGGAUUCCUACUCCAAGAAGGAUUCCUACUUGAAGUAGGAAAGUUAAGCCAAGGUUUCCUAUUUUGGUUUGACCUUUCCUAAAUCCUAAUUGUCCCUAUGUUCCAGCAACAUUGAAGGCCUUUUAAGCAUUCUAGGACACAAAUUACACAUUCCUUGCAUGGUCCAAUUCCUUGACCCACUUGUCCCACUUUCCCUUUCCCUUGCCGUGCAAGGGAACCUAUUUCCCUUCAGUUUUAGGACACUUUGCCUUCCCUAAAACACAUGCCGCAACCUCCUUGCCCUUUCCUCUUCCUUGCCGUGCAAGGGAGAUGGUUCUUUCCUGUUUCCUUGCAUUAAAACACAUUCCUAUUGUGUUUUAAUGCCUUGCCGCACCUCUUAGCCUUUUUCCUUAAGUUCUCUGAUUUUAUUUCAAAUUUCUGAAAACCUUGGACUUAAUUUCUGUAAACCUAAAUAACCUAGGGUUUUAAUUCCUGAAACCUUUAAAUAAACUUCUUUUGGCAGCCACAAAUCAUCCAUUCAUUCACCCAUUCACACCAGAAAUCCAUCCCCACUCUCUGCCACAUCCAUCCUUCACCAUUCUCCAUAUUUUCUGACCUAAAACAACCUUUGCCGCACCAUACACCUAUCCUAACCAUAAACCCAUCCUUCUACACCAUCCAUAACCCCUUAAACUCACCACCAAACCUUGUGCCGCAGCAAAGGAAGGGAAGAAGAAGUGCUUGAAUGUUCUUGCUGUUUAAUUUGGAUCGUUGGAGCGUUUAGGUGUUUUCUUUCUUUUGUUUACAAUGUAUAAAUCUGUUUUCCUUUGUUUUGUGAACAUGAGGAACUAAACCUUCUUGCCUAGGGGGCUAUUCAAUACCAUGAUUAUACUUGCAAUAUGAAUUGAUUACCUUCAAUUGUUAUUUCAUAAGUUGUAAAUUCAAUUUGCUUGACCGUUUGAUUGAUAACUUAUUCUUAUAUGUCUAUUAAGAGUGCACACUUAGUUUUCAUGCAAGGAUUUGAAGCUAAAAUAUAAGAGAGUUUCACCUAAUAGUUACAAACUUAUAUUUUCAAGUAGUGGAGGUCGCUUAUAAACGAUCGCGUUAAGUGAAUUCUUGGCAAGAGUAUCAUGCCCAUCAUAGUUACAAAUGCCUCGUCAAUACUUAUAGUUUUCAUGAAGCUUAAUGAUCUUUGAUUGUACCUUUAUUGUGCUUUUCACGUAGGGGACUUUUAGAGAAUGUUUUGAAUUGUUGUAUGUGCUUUCCCAUCCAAAUCAUUAACUUAAGGAGAACUUGAAGGUUAAAAAAGUGUUGUCACAGUUAACUUGGAGUAUUGAGUUUCAUGGUUUAUUGAAAGUAGCAAUUGGAAAUCAAUUUAAAUGCAAGUGUGUUGUGUGUGGAGAAGAACCAUCUAGCUAGCCCAUCAUGCAUCUGAUGCGUAAAAUAAGUUAACACACAAAAUUAAACCCUCUUUUUGACAAUUGUAGUAUAGAUGUAAGUAGGGUAUCGUUCUAGGCCGGGGAUUAGGAGGGAUUGCUAAUCUAUUAAAUUAACUUAAAAAUAUUAAAUAAGACUCAAGGACACAAAACUAGGCUAAAAACUCUAAUAACUCGAAACACACUUAAAAUGACUCAAAAUAAUGAAAACAAUUAAAUUAAACACUAGGAACUGAAAUGGACGGAAAUUAAAUUAAAAGACUAACAAUAAAGAAAACUAACUAAAUAAUAUAAUUUAAUAAUGGAUGGGUGUUUGGUGUUUGAUGAAAAAUAAAUUAAACUUAAUUAAAUUACAGAAUUGAUAAAAACAUAAAAUUAAGGUAAAAUGAUAUAAAUGACGGACUAGCUAGAGGGUUCUUCUCCACAUAUGACACAUAUGCAACCUAAAUUGAUUUGGUGAAAUGUGAAAAAAAAUUAAACUUAAGUACAGAAUUGAUAAAAAACAUAAAAUUAAGGUAAAAAUGAUAAAUGACGGACUAGCUAGAAAAGCGUCUUCUCCACAUUUGACACAUAUGCAAACCUAAAUUGAUUUUCAGUUGUUUCUUUCAAUAAAUUGUGAAUCUCAAAAAAUACAGAUUAACCAGUGAACAGCACUUUUUUAAUCUUCAAGUUUUCCUUAAGUUAUUGAAUUGGACGGAAACGCAUACAAAAUUCAACAUUCUUCAAAAGUCCCCUACGUUAAAAGCACAAUAGACAAAGAUCAUUAACUUGUUGUGAAAGACGAAUUAUUUCGUUUCGUAAUUAAAGCAUGAUACUUAAAAUGCGUGAUAUCUGUGAGCUAAACCUUUGACUAGCAAACCUUUACAUAAGUUCAACUCAAACUUAUAUAAGUUCAUACAUUCUGACUGAAAUUCAAAUUCAAAUUCAUGUUAAAUUAAGCGUUGCACUCUCAACCAACAUACACAAAUCAGUUUUUACGAACGGAAUAAGUAUAAAUAUCAAAUUUCAAAUUAUUAAGGUAUCAGAAUUCAAUUUAAUUAUAAAAUUCUAGAAAAAAUUAAUUUACAUUUAUUAAAAUAGAAAUAAAAUAUAGAUUUAGAAAGAUUUAACCGAGAGAGAGGAGAGUGCUUGCUGCUUCUUCUUAUUCCGUUUUUCCUGCGUGCUGACCUCAUGCUCAAGCUGCCUCUUUUCCUGUUUCCCCGCGUCCUGCGUUUCUUGUCAAGCUGCUGCGUGCUGACCUUCCCUGCACGCUGCCAAGUCACGCUGCCUAAUGGCAGCUCACCUUCUCUCCCUCACCUCCUGCACGUACUGACCUUCUCACUCCUCUGGCGCUGCCCCGUGUCCUCCUGCUCUCCUUCCCUAUUUCCUUCUGUUUCUUUAUUUUUUAUAUCCUUUUCUGCUUCUGGCAGCAGGGCUGCCCCCCCCCAAAUCACCCAACCUUUUUUUUUUUCUAUUUCGUGUCCCUCUCGUUUCUCUCCCUCUCCUUCUAUCCCCCUUUUCUAUUUUUUAUUCUCUUUUCUUUCACGCCUAACCUUCCCGUCAGUCAAGGUUGCCAGCUGCAAAAGGGCAGCUCCUUCCCAUCCUCAAUUCUCUUGGAUUCCUUUCACCCCCCUUUCUGCCUUUUUUCUUCCUUUUAUUCUUUUAUUUUUUGUUUUGUUUCCUUUUUUGUUUUUCACGUUUUCUUUUCUUUUUCUUUAUUCUUUCUACAAAACAUAACAAAUCUUUAUAAACACCAAAAUAACGUAAAAUAGCUCAAAAAUAUAAGGAACUAACUAAGAAAAGACGAGUGAAUUCGAAGUAAAAAUAUAUAUAAAUAUGAUCCGAUCAGCAUCUAAUUCAACCAAUUUCGUGCAAAUCUGUUUAGUUUUAAUCUUGCUUUGUUUUACUUUAUUUUCGUCCAAAAUCAAAUUCCCUUUACUUUAGAGUGUCUAAUUAGUUAGAAUCUGUUUAGUUUGUGUUUUUAAGUGUUUUGAAUCAACAUAAAACCAAAAUUCGUCCAAAAGAGUGUUUAGAGUCCAAAUCUGCCCAGUUUGUGUAUUUAGGCAUAUUUGAGCGUUUUUAGCUUGUUUUGAGUCUUUUGAAUUUGUUUUGAGUUCUUUGAGUCUAGUUAAGUGUUUUUAAGUUUAUUUUUAUAUAUUUGAGUCAGUUUAGAGUGUUUUAGCAAUCCCUCCUAAUCCCCGGUUUAAGAAUGAUCCCUACUUAUCCGUACUACAAUUGUCUCAACAAGAGGGUUAAUUUUGUAAGUGUUUAAGGUCAAUUUUCGCAGUCAGUUUUCGACUCUUCCGACUGUCUGCACUCAGGUAGGUCGAUCACGUUUUUGUCAAGCAAGUCUUUCAACAUGGCAACCACAUAUAGAGUCGGGGAACGGAUAAGUCUUCUCCUUAAGCUCCUUCAAAGUGCGUCUACACAUCUCUAGAUCAUGAAAAAGCUUUGGUUUGAAUCGCCUUACCACAUGUAAAGAUUUUGACGGAAGAUGUGUUGACUGUCAUUACUUCCUUGUUGGAUUUUGCACGCAGUAUUCUCCACCUUAGGCCAAAAAACUUUGUCGUUCUUGUAGUCAGUGAUCGGUUCUUUCUUCUUAUGAUGGGCGAUGCUCAACUCCUUUUUAUGGCUGGUGCGUGGGGUGGCAGCUCUUUGAAGGUUCCGUGCGUUUUCAUGUUGGAAGAUGAGAGAGUAAUGUAAUCCCAUGUAUUACAUGCCUUUUGUACAACAUCUCGCCCUUAGGAAUCUCCGAAGUCUAUCUUUACAGUUAAGACUUAGACUGCGCAUCGAGUUGUUGUGUUCAACGACUGGCUCAUCCUUCCACUGCCUUUGUAUAUUUGUGAGAGCUCUAGCAUGCUUAAACUAAGUGCGGCGGGUGCUGAGAAGAAGGUUGAGGAAUUGCUUUGGCUGCUCUCAAUUGUUGAUGGACUCAAGCUCUAGGUCCAUGUAUCAGUCAAACGCAUUUCUAUUCAGAAAGCGGACAAACUGCUUUGUGGUAGGGUAGUCUGUCUCCAGUCCCUGCAUUGUUUGCAAAGUUCUCGACAAAAAGGGCGACGUGUUGCUUUGGGUUUCCUUUUCAUCAAACUUAAAACUUUCAUGGUUGGUACCUGUUCAAUAUCCUCAACCUAUUAAUCCUCUUGGUGUAUGGCUUUGAGUACAACAAUGCAUUCUGCGAAGUACCUUCCACCUGUGUUCUGACGGUGUUGUCAAUAAUGUCCUGGAUAUGUUGUAUGGAAAGAAAGCCUAUGAAUGUCGUUGCUUGGUCUGGCUUCUCGACUUUCUCCACUAGAGGCUCAUCUUCUUCGUCGGCUUCUCUCUUUAGUGGAUCAACCUUUCGGUCGCAGUCAACUUUUUAUCAUGCUAAAACGCCUCAAUCAAUUUAUUUCAGUGCAUUGCAAGUCCCUUUUCCUCUGCAGUCCUUUAUGAGCCAAUGCAAUUGCCUUCACUUAUUGUCUUUCUUAUUCAAUGGAAAGCUUUUAUGUCACGACCCUUGUAACGCCAAUUGGUCACCAUUUUUUGACAACUGCGAGACAUCCAGGGUGUUGACGAAGAACCCCGUUGGCCAUUGGCAUGGAAUGUUAUCUUGUGCGCCCAAUAUAGCAAUUGUGCCCCAGUAAGGUUAGGUUGAUGAUAGACUCGCGCAUUUGAUGCUCCCCUUGCUCCUUUUAGGCACCACUUGAAGCCGCAUGUAAGGGAGUGGUUUUUGAGCCAAUGGAUUGUUCGUUUUCACCGGAAGUGCUCAGGAUCCUUCCCUUGGUGGUUGCCAAGUGUGCUUCCUUGCUUGAUGCAUUGAUUUUUUGGUGUGUUCGGAUUCCCCCAGAGAAAAGAUAGUUUAAGGAGAGAUGGACCCGCUGAGUGUGCCAAAUUUGUAAAUACGAUUUUUUAGUAAUGUUGAUGGCUCAUGAUGUUUUGGGGUUACAAUCUGCUCUCGUGCCAUCUGAUUCGAUCUUCGUUUGUGUAGAUUUGUGGAGAAUUUUUCUUGGUUGAAAUGAGUUUCACAAGGAUCGCGGGAAGUUUUCUUCAAUCCUUGCUCGGGCUUAUUUAGGGCUGAGAUUGAUUUUAACGGUUUAAGGGCUUUUUGGUUUUUGAGCUUGAAGGUUGAUGGAAUUUCUUCAAGGGCCUUUAAGGGCUUGAUCUUGAAGUUGAGGAUGAACAGAUCUUCAGGCUUUUGGGUUGACUGCUUCAGGAUCUUCAAGGGGUUUUGGUUGAUCCCGAAUCAAAAUAGGCUUUUUGAACUUGAUAUUUUGAAGGGUUUGGAUUUUUUUGUUGAAAAAUGGGUGUCUUUGGAUCGAUUCUGGGCUUUUUUGGACUUUGAUCGAAAGAUGAUGGACAAAACACUUUUAAGGCUUUUUCGUGCAGAAGGUUGAUUCUUGGAAGAGUUGAUUAGAUGUUUUGAUCAGAUCCUUCAAGGGGCUUUGGAACUGGCUUGUCGAAAGGAAUGAUGUUUGUGAAGACUCUUCAGGGCCUUGGGCUUUUGGCUUGGAUUUGAUUCGAACGAUUUGAUUGGUGUUGGAUUUUCUUGAAUGCUUUAGUUUCCUAUCUUGAAAAGGUUUGGUUUGUGAAUUGAUGUUGUGAUCUAAUUAAUGAAUGCCUUUGGCUCCUGAACUUUUUUUGAAACUUGAUUUUGAACGAUUAAACGAUUCUUUUGGGGUUAUGCAGGUUAGAAGGAAAUUCGACCAUUUUAACUUGAAGAAUUUCGUGGGGCUCAAAUGGAUGGUAUUCGCUUUGCUUGUGCGUGUGAGGAUAUUUUAAGAUGAUACAUAUUAAAAUUGGUGAAAAUGCCUUGGCUUUAUAUAAAUUUCAAACUUGAACAUUACAUGAAAUAAUUUCAUUUUGCCAUUACAGUAAUUUGAAUUUUUUCUUAGACAAAUGACAUGGCUACGAGAUUACAAUUGGACGUUCACAUUUUAACUUAUUGAUCAACAUUUUAUUUCACCGAAAUUUCGAUGCUGGAUCUCUAUUAUUAUGACUAAGAGUAUUGGUGGAAACAUUAAAAGUAAUAAUGACUUCAAAUGUGUUCCAUCAUGCAUACAAAAUAUCGCCAUAUAGAAGCUUACAAACAAUGUUGUUUGGAUGGGAACUGAAGAUUAUUUUGUGAAAACAGUUCAUUUAACAACCUAAGAUGCAAUUAACAAAAAUCAUGGGCAUGGUGAACAUUUACCCAAACUCAAAACCAAAACCAACUCAAACAAAGUGAGUUGAAAUUUAUACCUUUGUAGAUUCCUCUUUGCAUAAGCAAAGGCUAAUCACCCAAAGAGAGGGCCUUCAUUCCUUGCAUCUUAAAUCUAUGGAUUUGGAUGGAUGAAUAGGUUUCUCCAAGUUCCCAAAAUUGAGAACCUCUAAGUCUCUUCACCAAGGAGAGAUUGGAGAAGAAAUGAGUGACCUUGGAGUAGUGGGAUUGCAAGAUGCACCCCCAAGGUGGCCGGCCUCUUUAGAGAGAAAUGGAGAGACAAGUUCUCACCAAUUUUCUCCAAAACAAACCCUUAAUGAAUUUUGGCUAUAAAGUCAUAUUUAUACCUUUAUUCAUUGGAGUGGCAAACUUGUAAAUAAGUCCAAGUUCACUACCCUAAACAAUAUGGCCGGCCAUUAGGAUAUUUUGGACUAAUUGGGCCUUUGUGAAUCAUUAUUCGUUAAGUUGUCAUACAACUUAAGUUAAUGGGCUUGACGUUCGAAGCCCAUUGGGCCUUAAGGUCCAAAACUAUCCCGAGGGCUUUAACGAACUUAUUCGUUUGAUUAAUUAACAUAUUAAUUAAUCCUUGCCAUAAAUAAAUGAUUAAACCAUUUAAUCAUUCUUACUCAUCUCCAUUGUUUCUUCAAUCUCCUCCUUACACGGUGUGCGAUCCAUUAGGUUCCUUUUAGCGAGGCAGUGGGCGAUUAAAACCAUUUUACAUCGAUUGUGAAUUGAAACUUACUUUCAAUUCUCCCUUUAGUGAUUACACACGUUUAGGGCUUCCACAAACCAUGAGUGACACCUUGCAGCAUAUCAUGGUUACCCAAGCUAAUCAGAAGAGGUAGAGAAAACCUAUUCAGUCUGGGAUUACAAAUGCAAUACGGUCUUUCUCUAAUCUAAUACUCCUGACCACAUUGUUUGGUUUGAUAGUUUAUUUAUUCAUGUCUACUAUCCAAUGUGAUUCGUGUGCUUAUAUGAUUUCCUUGAAUGUGAUUCGGAACGCAUUCCCAAAUCUCAUUCAUACUCUGGCCAGAGAUUCUAAAUCAUAUCAUAGAGUAUUCUCCCUCAAACGGUUUGAAGGUUAGAGAUCCCUUGUUGCGCAUUCACUUGCCUCCAUGACUAAGUGGCUUAACCCCAACGAUGCCGUGGACACCCCGAGGGGGAGACUUUGACAUAAUCAAAGAUCAAGUACUUAACCACAAGACAACUGUGAUGCCUCAGGUCAAAGGACUAAUUUGCAUUAUCCCAACCAUGAGUUCUCAUGUGACAUGAGUAUGAGAACUCUUCGUUGAUCGCGUUCAGUGAACUCAUUCUCUACUGAGCACCUACGUACUUGUCUUGAUGUCACACACACCAAUGACUCGAGACUAGUCACUCUCCCUGAGAGAAGAUAUAGCACGUACCGAUCUUGACGGACUGUCAAUGCCCAAUUGGCAAUCCUAUGAUCAGGAACAUUUAGGAUGUGUCUACGAAAGAAUGGUCUCAUGAAUCUAACUUCAUUAGAUUACAUUCUCCCAAUCACAUAUUCCUUGGACUUUAUCGUUUAAGCAUAUAACAUUUAUAUGAGACGGCUCAAACAAUAAUCUUUGCCCUUUAUAGUUAAACUAGAUUAGUUUAACAUGUGAAAUGUCCGUAAAGUAUCAUCAUAUGAUUGGCUUUAGGGCACAUUUCCAACAGAAAGUUCAUUUAUAAACUCUCUAUUCGGUUCUAACUAGAAAGUGUCUCUAGUGUACCGACACUACGACACUAAUGGGGCGAUAGCUUAAGCUAGGGAAAACUCAAAUGAGAGACUGAACCACAUGAUUGAGAAUCAUGUAUAAUGGUGACGUCGUUAUUCUCAAGGUUGUUUCCAUGGAUAACAUAUAGAUAUCCAUUGUCUAGGCCAACUACUCAGCCAUUUUUUUGAAUGAAUUCAGAAAAGGUAUCAUCACUAAUGACCAAGCUGAUUAGCUCUAGUGCAAAUGGGAGAUUGUUGGAAAUGUGCCCUAUAGCCAAUCAUAUGAUGAUACUUUAUGGACAUUUAACAUGUUAAACUAAUCCAGUUUAAUAUAAAGGGCAAAGAUUAUUGUUUAAAUUCGUCUCAUAUAAAUGUUAUAUGCUUAAACGAUAAGUCCAAGGAAUAUGCAAUUGGGAGAAUGUGAUCUAAAGCAGUUAGAUUCAUGAGACGAUUCUUUUUUGUAUACAUACCCUAAAUGUUACCGAUCAUAGGAUUGCCAAUUAGGCAUUGACAGUGCUUUAAAGUCAGUACGUGCUAUGUCUUCUUUUAGGGAGAGUGAUUGGUCUUAAGUCAUUGGUAUAACUGACACCAAGACAAGCAUAAAGGUGCUCAAUAGAGAACGAGUCCACUCAACACGAUCAACGAGAAGUUCUCAUACUCAUUUCACAUGAGAAAUCAUGGUUAGGAUAAUGAAAAGUAGUCAUUUGACCUGAGACAUCAUAGUUGUCUUGUGGUUAGGUCCUUGAUUUUUGACUAUGUCAAAGUCACUUCGUUAGAGGGUGUCCACGACAUAGUUGGGGUUAAGCCACUUAGCCACGGAGGCAAGUGACUGUGCAACAAGGGAUCUCUAGCCUUCAAACCUUUUGAGGGAGAAUACUCUAUGAUAUCAUUAAGAAUCUCUGGCCAGAGUAUGAAUGAGAUUUAGGAAGUCGUUCCAAAUCACAUUCAAGGUAAUCAUAUGAGUAAGAGAAUCACAUUGGAUAGUAGACAUGAAUAAACUAUCAAACCAAACAAUGUGGUCAAGAGUAUUAUAUUAGAGAAAGACCGUAUUGCAUUGUAAUCCUAAACUGAAUAGGUUCUCCACCUCUUCUGAUUAGCUUGGGUAGCCAUGAUAUACUGAUAGCUGUCAUUCAUGGUUUGUGGAAGCCUUAAAGGUGUAUAAUCACUAAAGGGAGAAUUGAAAGUAUGUUUCAAUUCACAAUCGAUUUGAAGAGUUCUAAUCGCCCAUUGCCUUGCUAAAAGGAACCUAAUAGAUCAUACACCGUGUAAGGUAGAGAUUGAAGAAACAAUGAAGAUGAGUAAGGAUAAUUAAAUGGUUUAAUUAUUUAUGGCUAUGAUUAAUUAAUAUGUUAAUUAAUCGAAUGAAUAAGUUCGUUAUAAACCUCGGGUUGGUUUUGGCCCGCAAGGCCCAAUGGGAUUUGAAUGUCAAGCCCAUUAACUCAAGUUGUAUGACAACUUGAAAACACAAAAGGCUUCAAGGCCCAAAUAACCUAUAAUGGCCGGCCAUGUAGAAAGGGGUAGUGAACUUGCCUUAAUUGCAAGUUUGCCACUCCAUUGUGAGGUGGUAUGAAGGCAACUUUAAAGCCAUUUCAUCCUUAGGGUUUUUCUUUGUAGAUAAGAUGAGAACAAAAGCUCUCUUGACUGUCUAAGAGGCCGGCCACCCUAGAGGAACAUAUCUAGCAAUCUUCCUUCGUCUAGGUCACUCAUCUCUUCAUGAAUGCUCUCCUGGGCGUGGAGACUUAGAGGUUCUCUAUUUUGGGAACUUGGAGAAUACAUUCAUCUAUCCUCCUCCAAGAAAUCCAUGGAGCUAAUAAGUAAGGAAAGAAAGCCCUCUCUCUUGGGUGAUUAGCCUUUGCUUAUGCAAAGAGGAAUCAACAAAGGUGUAAUAUGUCUAAACUCGCUUUGUUCUUGAGUUGAGUCUUGGUUCACCAUAACUACUAGGCUUUGAAUUUCAUGGGUUAAGUUUUGUUUUUGAGUGCAUACAAGCAUGAUUCCGCCUUUUAAUUAUUAAUAGCAUGCAUAGAUGUUGCUCAAAUGAACUAGUUUUCACAAAUAUUUCCUUCAACUGCCACGUGAUGAGCGGACCCCAAGUAUCAUGAUGUGAGAAUUACUUGACACACAAAUUAAACCCUAUUGAUGACAAUUGUAGUAAUGAUGCAAGUAGGGAUCGUUCUAGACCGGGGAUUAACUAGGGAUGCUAAUCAACAAAUAUAAGACUCAAGAAUAUAAGAAGAAACUUAAAAACACAAAAGUAGGUUUUAAAACACUAAACUAGACUCAAAGAGUUCAAAACACUUUAAGGCACAAACUAAACAAACUUAAACACACUUCGAUACAAGAAAGUAAAUGGGAGGUAUUGGUUUGGAUGAGAUUGAGAUAACAACAAAAAGUAAAACUAAAUAGAUGGUUGAUGGAUUAGCUAGAGAUCCAUUCUUCACACAUGACACACUUGUACAUGAAUUGAUUUCCAAUUGCUUUCAAUAGAUUAUGAAACUCAACACCCCAGAUUAACCGUGAUGCACUAAUUAAUUCUCAGAUUUUCCUUGAUUUAUUGAAUUGGAUGAAUGCAUACGACAAUCCAAAUUAUUCUCCAAAAGUCCUCUACAUGAAUGCAUAAUAGAGAUACAAUUAAAGAUCAUUACGUUCUAUGAAAAUCAUAAGUGUUAACGAGGCAUUCGUAACUAUGAAUGCAUGAUACGUUUGCCAAGAAUUCAAUUAACGCGAUUGUGACUAGCAACCUUCACUACCAAUGAAUAUAAACUUGUAACGAUUAGGUGAAACUCAUUUAUAUCCUAGCAUGAAAUUCAUGCAUGAAAACUAAGUAUGCAUCCUUAAUAAACAUACAAGAAUUAGUUUUGAAGAAAGUAGUUAAUUGAAUUGCAUUCACAACUUAUUAAAUCACAAUUGGAAGAAAUCAAUUCAUAUCUCAAACAUGUUCAUGGCUUCGAACUUCACCCUAGCUAAGUAAGGGUUUAGUUCCUCAUACUUGCAAUUAAACAAAAACAAUUGAUAUUAAACAUAGAGAAACAAAGUAGAAGACACCUAGAAUGCUCCAACAACUCCAAUGGAAUGGCUAGCACAACUCCAAGCACUCCUCCUUCUUUGCAAGCCUUGGAACUAAUGGAAAUGUGUAUGAAUGGCUGUGUGUCAUCCUUGAAGGCUGAAUGGUGCUUAUAUAGAGGUUGGAAAUGUCAAGCAAUUGCAAGGUAAUGGACAAGGGAAAAAAAACCCACGGCAAUGAAGGAAGAUGCUGCCAGCUUUUUGCCUUGUGUGUGUGUGCUGUCUUUGUGCUCUUUCCACCUAGAAAUAAUCAUGCCAAAGCCACCCAAAGCUAUAAGUGGGAGACCAACAAGAAAUCCACUUCAUAGUGGUCCAAUUUCCUUGCUUUUCUGCUGUCCAUUCACUCCCCUUGUUUUAUUUCUUUUCUUUUGUUUGCUUUCAAUUCCAAUCUGCAAGUUGUCGUCAGCUAGACCUUCCCUUACUCAAAUGCCUAUAACUUCUUCUAGAAAAAUGAUAUUAACAAUCCGCGAAAUGUUCUAGAAAAUAGACAUCUGUAGCUUUCCAAGCAUAUAAGGCUCAUUCUCUAAUUCAUUCUGAGCUGUUCGUAAUUUGCUCCCAAAGUCAGCUGAUCAAAGUUGUAGAAAUCUGCCAACUCCAUUCCAUUGCCGUGUGUGUGUGUUUGUGUUGUCAUCAUCACUUCCCCACUCUUCCAUGCUUUAAUUUCUGAUUCCUUGCUGCCCAUGUGGUGUGUGUGUUGCUGUUUUCUUUCCUUCUUGCUGCCCAUGUGGUGUUUAUACUUGCACAUGCAUGUUCUUCAUCCAUUUAGCUAGCAAUAAACACAUUUUUCUGCCAUCACAUGGCAGCUAUGAUGUUUGAAGUUGUAGGCCAACACUUUGCACACACACAUGUAGAUUUCUAGCCCAUUGAAUCAUCAAAUUCGUCCAUCCUCAUGUCUCCAUGUUUGCACCAUCCAAUCUUGGCCCAAAAAUGCUCCAAAGUGCUCCAAAAUGCAUCUUCUUGCAUCCUUGGCCCAUAGAACCUACAAACACACAAAAAUGGCUUAAACUACUAACAUAACUAAGAACUAAGAACAUAAAUGCACGAAAACAAACAUACUAAGUCGCAUAAAUAUGCUCCUAUCAAAUUCCCCCACACUUAGCUUUUGCUUGUCCUCGAGCAAAACAAAGAAACAAAACAUAAGAACAAAACAAAAACCUAAACCUUCCAACAUUUACCUUAGGGAUUUUCAAUGCAACAUGACAUGCAAAAGAUCAUCAUAACCACAUAUUUUGGCCUUCCCUACCCUUGAGCACAUACUUAAUCAUAGUCACCAUAUACUAGUUCACAUAUAACCAAUUAAAACGAUGUUUUGAAUGUAGUAACAUGCCUUAGAGAAUUUGCUCAAUUCCUUACAAGAUACACUCUUAUUUUCACUCUGAAUUUCUGACUACACACCCUACACUAGGUGUAUGUGAGAAGAUUGAUGUAAACAUGAAAACGAACACUCACAUAUGUUUAAAGCAAAGAAAGCAAUUUCUGGAGUUAUUAAGCAUGUAUAGAUAUGAUCUCAUGACUGGAAUGCUACUACUUAGAUGCGAGAACCAGGGAUACCAUAUGCUCGUACCAAUCCCAAACUCCACAUAUUGAAACACAUAACACUCAAGAUUGAAGUUAAGGGUUGUAACGGGGUUAGGGGUGAUUGGCUAACAAUGAAAGGUAAGGAAACAAACGUUUUUUAAAGCAUAAUAAGCAAAGUAAUGAAAUUGAUGCUUAGAAUUCCUUUUGAAUGCAGCAACUAACUUUAAACACAAUGGGGUUAUUCAUUCAACUUUUUAGGGCCGAUUUCAACUUUUUGGACCCUUUCUACAACAAACAACACUUGUGAGCCUUUCCUCACUUAUUUCAAACUCUUUUUUUUUGUUUUUUUUUUUUUUUUUUUUAACCCGUGCCUUAUUACUUUCUUUUGGCACACUAAACACAAAACUCUCAUUCCCCCACACUUGUUUUCUGCAUAAGGACAAUCAAAAGGAAUUCAUUUUAAGUCAUGCUUCAUUAUGCUUUAAAAACAAGGGUAAGGAUAGUCCUAAUCUAGGCUAGGUAAGGGAAAUGUGGUUUAACAAAGAAAACAGGCUAAACAAGGCUCAACGGGGUUAAACUUAAACAAAUAUGCACGGGAUAAGCUUUUUGGCUCUAGUUCACUACAGAACUUCAUCUUGAAUAUGUGUUAUGCAAAUCAAUGUCAUGCUUUGAAUGGAACGGGCAUAAGUUCUAGUAUUUGGAACUAAAUGAUGAAACGCCUUCUAAGUAGCAACCAGGCAAAGAAUGAUGAGAUCAUGCAACGACUUUAGAAAACAAAAAUGCACAGAUUAAUAACUCUCCAAAGAACGUAUUAGGCUCAAGUCUCUCAAGGUUGUAGUGUUAGUUUGAGUUCCUUCCUUCAAGCAUGUUACAAAAACUGAUUUUAUUUUAUUUUUUUUUUUUUUUUUGUGAUUACAUGUGAAUUCGUAAACUAUAACUAUAACCAAGCAUAAAUCAAGAGCAUAUCAAACUUCCAUCCAUGUUUAUAACUUUCUUUAACAGUCAUGCAAUUAAAAACCAAAUCCUCAUUAUUUGUGUUGGAAGGUACCCUAAGACACAAACAAACACACAAAAACGACUCUUUUUGGCUUUUUCAAAACAAUUUUUUUUAUUAUUUUUUUUUAUUUUUUUUUAUAUUUUUUUAUAUUUUUGUCAAAUUUUCGGAUUUUUAUGUCAAAACAUACUAACAUGCUUAAAAACACAAUAAAAACACUUAAAACAGCAAGAAACAACAUUGUAAGUGAUAGGUGAAUAAAAUCCCACGAAAAUCAUGCAACAGCAACUUGUUUAUAUUUUUUUAUAUUUUUGUCAAAUUUUCGGAUUUUUAUGUCAAAACAUACUAACAUGCUUAAAAACACACUAAAAACACUUAAAACAGCAAGAAACAACAUUAUAAGUGAUAGGUGAAUAAAAUCCCACGAAAAUCAUGCAACAGCAACUUGUUUACCCCCCCACACUUAAAUCUAACAUUGUCCUCAAUGUUUCAAACAUAAACUCACAAAAAAGCAAACAAACAAACAACGAGGAAACAUGAUAAACAUGGCAAAGUAAAAGCAACAGAGAGGAGGGUUAAAGAACGCAAACACCUGGUUUUGGAGUCGGAAAUUCCUAGGUCUUCUCUAUUUCCAUGGGUUGCCUCCCAAGAAGCGCUUUCUUUAACGUCGUGCAGCCGGACGUCUAUCAUUCAUCAAUGAUCUUUGGUGCCCACGGCAUGGAGGGAUAGAUCCUCCACCACAUGCUCCUCAAACAGGUCGUAAUAGGGCUUCAAUCGAUGCCCAUUAACCUUGAUUUCAUGUCCUGUUUUCAAGCUUUGGACUUGGACUGCACCAUGAGGAAAGACAUUAGUAACAAUAAAUGGCCCAAUCCACUUGGAACGUAACUUACCGGGGAAUAACCGAAGGCGAGAGUCAAAUAGGAGCACUUUCUGUCCCUUGGAGAAUGUUUUGGUACGAAGCAUCUUGUCAUGAUACGCCUUGGUCUUGUCCUUGUAAAUUCGAGCGUUCUCAUAAGCGUCAUGCCUAAUCUCCUCGAGUUCAUUUAGUUGGAGCUUUCUAUGCACCCCGGCUGCAUCUAUGUCCAUGUUGAAGGUCUUCACAGCCCAAUGCGCCCUAUGUUCCAAUUCAACGGGCAAAUGACAUGGUUUACCAUAAAUGAGACGAAAAGGUGACAUACCUAGAGGGGUUUUGUAGGCCGUACGAUAGGCCCACAAUGCAUCGUCCAAGCGCAAACUCCAAUCUCUCCUUGAAGGCCCCACAGUUUUCUCAAGAAUUUGCUUGAUCUCCCGAUUUGAAACUUCCGCUUGCCCAUUGGUUUGAGGAUGAUAAGGGUGGAUACCUUAUGCGUCACUUUGUACUUCUUGAGCAAAGCUUCAAUGGUUCGAUUACAAAAGUGAGAGCCUCCAUCACUAAUGAGAACUCUAGGCAUGCCAAACCUAGCAAAGAUAUUAGUUUUCACAAAAUCUGCAACAACCUUUGAAUCGUUAGUUCGGGUGGCUUUGGCUUCCACCCAUUUGGAAACAUAAUCAACAGCUAGCAAGAUAUAAGUGAAACCAAAAGAUGGAGGGAAAGGACCCAUGAAAUCUAUACCCCAAACAUCAAAGAUUUCAACACUAAAAAUGGGGGUUUGCGGCAUUUGUUGUUUAGGACCAAUAUUGCCCGUUCUUUGGCAUCUAUCACAAGACAUGCAAAAUGUUCUAGCAUCCCUAAAGAUGGUAGGCCAAUAGAAACCACAUUCUAACACCUUAAGUGCUGUUCUUUGAGUGCCAAAGUGUCCCCCACAAGCAUAAGUGUGACAAAAGGUUAGAAUUGCAUUAAACUCAGAAUCGUGUACACACCUACGUAUAACUUGGUCAGGGCAAUAUUUCCAUAAAUACGGGUCAUCCCACACAUAAAACCGUGCCUCUUUCUUCAAUUUAUCACAUUGGUGUUUUAAGUAAUUCACUAGGAACAUGUUUAGACACCCAAAUAAUUCACCAAAUCAGCAUACCACGGUUCACUUACCUUGACGGACAUCAGUUGCUCAUCUGGGAAUGUCUCUAUGAUAGGCACGACAUCCUCCUCAUGCACUAUACGGCUCAAGUGGUCAGCCACCACGUUUUCACUUCCCUUCUUAUCCCGGAUUUCGAUAUCGAACUCUUGAAGAAGAAGCAUCCAACGAAUGAGUCGUGGUUUGGCUUCCUUCUUGGUGAAUAAAUACUUCAAUGCUGCAUGGUCAGUAUAAAUAAUAACUUUAGUACCAAGCAAAUAAGAACGGAAUUUAUCUAAAGCAAAUACAACAGCAAGAAGUUCUUUUUCAGUGGUAGAAUAAUUCAAUUGUGCAUCAUUUAAAGUCCGAGAGGCAUAAUAGAUAACAUGCGGCCUCUUUUCCUUCCUUUGCCCUCCUAAAACAGCUCCUAAUGCAUAAUCGGAAGCAUCACACAUAAGCUCAAAAGGAAAGCUCCAAUCUGGUGGAACUAUGAUAGGGGCCGAAGUUAGCAUUUCUUUUAGGUGAUUGAACGCCUUCUCACACUCCUCGUUGAAGUCAAACGCCACAUCUUUUUGGAGGAGACGGCAAAGAGGGUUUGAGAUCUUGGAGAAGUCCUUGAUAAAUCGCCUAUAAAAUCCUGCAUGACCAAGAAACGAAACGAAUCUCUCGAACCGAAGUAGGAGAGGGUAAGUAGCGUAUAAGAUCUAUUUUCGAUUUAUCCACUUCAAUUCCUCUUUCUGAAACAAUAUGCCCUAGAACUAUGCCUUGUCUAACCAUAAAGUGACAUUUUUCCCAAUUAAGCACAAGGUUAGUUUCUACACAUCGUUUUCAAAAUUAUUGUGAGAUUUUCCAAACAACCAUCAAAUGAAUCACCAAAACACACUGAAAUCAUCCAUAAAUACCUCAAUAAUCUUUUCCACAAAAUCUGAAAAGAUACUUACCAUACACCUUUGAAACGUGGCCGGAGCAUUGCAUAAACCAAAAGGCAUGCGACGAUAAGCAAAAGUACCAAAGGGGCAUGUGAAAGUUGUCUUUUCUUGGUCAUCCGGCGCUAUGACAAUCUGAUUAUAUCCAGAAUAACCAUCAAGGAAAACAAUAAAAAGAAUGACCGGCUAACCUUUCAAGCAUUUGAUCAAUGAACGGCAAAGGGAAGUGGUCCUUCCUUGUGGUGGCGUUGAGCUUCCUAUAAUCAAUGCACACUCUCCAACCUGUUUGGAUACGGGUUGGCACAAGCUCAUUCUCGGCAUUUUUCACCACUGUCACUCCGGACUUCUUUGGAACACAUUGCACCGGUGAUACCCAACGACUAUCAGAGAUCGGAUAAAUUACUCCACAAUCAAAGAAGUUUGAUAAUCUCCUUUUUUCACAACUUCCAUCAUUGGAGGGUUGAGACGGCGCUGAGCCUCUCGAGUUGGUUUAGCCCCCUCCUCUAGAAGUAUGCGAUGCAUGCACGUAGUCGGGCUAAUUCCCCUAAUAUCGGCCAAAGUCCACCCAAUGGCCGUCUUGUGCUCUUUCAACACUCGGAUCAACUUCUCCCUCCUCUAUGGUCGUGAGUGAUGAGGAGACAAUGACGGGCAAUGUCUCGUUAUCUCCCAGAAAGGCGUACUUUAAAUGAUCGGGCAACGGUUUAAGCUCAAGUACGGGGUGCCUGAGUUACUGAGGGUAACAACUUAUUAGUGAGACUGAAAUUGAAAUUGGGUUAGAAGGCUUACCAUGAUAUUGAGGUAGUGACUCAAGGGCAGCCACUAUCUUCGGCCUCCUCCACACUUCUAGGCACGGCAAAACCAGAUUUUUGCCCAAUUCCUUGUGCAAUUGUUGUUUCAAGUGUAUCCCUCUCCAAACAAUCGAGAAAAAUCCUGCGCCAAAUCAUCAAUUAUAUCAAUAGAAAAGCAAGAAUGAUCGUCCUUAGGAAAUUUUAAUACUUUCAGAAAGAUUGAAAUCAAUGACUUCCCCAUCAAAUUCCAUCGUUAAAGUUCCUUUAAACACAUCUAUCUUGGUGCGGGCUGUUUUCAUGAAGGGCCUCCCUAAUAGAAUCGGCAAUGGGGUGGGAAUGGGGUGAAUCUUCCAUGUCAAGCACGUAGAAAUCCGCUGGAAAAAUCAAGUCACCAACCUGCACCAAAACAUCUUCCAAAAACACCCUUUGGAUAUGCAUUAGAACGAUCGGCUAAUUGAAUUAUCACACCAUCAUUUUUAAGCUCACCUAAGUUCAUAGAUGCAUAAAUAGAGUAUGGCAUAACAUUAAUUGAAGCCCCUAAGUCUAACACUGCAUUGUUCAAACUUAGUAUUACCAAUAACGCACGGAAUUGUAAAAACUACCCGGAUCUUUGCAUUUAGGGGUAAUUUCCUUUGUAACACGGCAGAGACAUUUUCACUUACUUGAACCACCUCUUUGUUCGAAAUCCUUCUCCUUGUUGUACAAAGUUCUUUUAAAAACUUAGCAUACCUCGGGACUUGCUUAAUCGCAUCAAGGAGCGGGAUAUUGACUUGAACUUUCCGAAAGGUCUCUAGAAUGUCCUUCUCAGCUUCUUCCUUCUUUGAUUGCCUAAACCUGCCAGGAAAGGGCACAUUUAGUGGAAUAGAACUAGAAAAAGUUGAAUUGGGACUUACCUUGGUGGUUUGGGAUGGUUUAGGAGGACUAGAUGAAUUCGGCAAGGUUUGGUCUUCCUUGGCCUUGGGCUUUUCUCCCUGUGCUUCUUCUUGCAGCAACUUGUCCUCCUCGUCUUGACUUGAUUUGGAUGUAUUGGAGUCCGUUCCAACCUGUUUACCACUUUUUAACAUGAUGGCCUUAGCGGUUUCAAAUCCUCCAUUCGGGUUCAUAACGGUUGAACUAGGCAAUCUGCCUUGUUCUCUAAUUUGCCCCAUAAAUUCUGCAAUUUGACCAUUUGCUUCUCCAAAUUGUCCACCCGUUUGUCUUGGAUUUGUCUCUCCUUAUUUUGAGUUUGUACUUCCUGCGUCAAAGUAGUAAGUAACUUAACAAUGUGAUCAUUAUCCAAAGACAUACCUGAGGUUGUUGGGGCAGAUUGCACUUGGUUUUGAUUGGGGACGAAUGGCUUUGUAUAAAAGCCCGGUGGUUGCUGCCUAAAUCCUCCUUGUUGUUGGGGUUGUUGAGGAUCCCGCCAUUUGAAAAUUUGGAUGGUCUCUCCACCCCGGAUUGUAGGUAUUAGAGUAUGGAUUCAUGGCGUGGUUGAUUUUGGUUCCCAAAACCCACGGCAUUGGCAGAUUCCCAACCCCCCAUUCUCAAUCAAUUGAGGGCAUUGAUCAUUUGCAUGUCCUUGCAUAGAGCACACGCCACACACACUUGGUCCAUGAAUCUUCAUUCCCUCGGCCAACUGAGAAACAAUAGAAGUAAGGUUAGCUAAUUGGGAUUGAAUUUCGGGCAUAGAACUUACCUCAUUCACUUGUGGCCGUGGGUGGUCUCUUUGUCCAACACCUUCGUAUUGUUUGCAUUAUGUGCUCGGUUGGCAAUUAGAACUUUUGCAGCCCCCGGAGUUUUAUCCACCAGCGCACCUCCCGCCGAGGCAUCAAGCAUUUGGCGUUCCAUGGGAAGGAGUCCUUCGUAGAAGUAUUGAAUGAGCAGCUCCUCCUUCAUUUGAUGUUGUGGACAAGAAGCAACAAGUGAUUUAAAACGUUCAUAAUAAGAAGGAAACGAUUCACCUUGAUUUUGAUUUGUUGGAUGCCACUAAUCCGUUUCCUCAAGAGAAUGACUCUUGAAGUUGGGAAAAACUUCUCCAAGAAAGCUCUUUUCAUACUAUCCCAAGAUGUAACCGUUCCGGGUGCUAACUCGUAAAGCCAAUCCUUCGCCUUUUCCAAAAGUGAGAAUGGAAAAGCCUUCAUCAUCAGAAUGUUCCCGUCGACAUUUAUGGGUGUCAUGCUCGAACAAACAACCUCGAAUUCCUUGAGAUGCUUGUUUGGCUCUUCCAUGGAAAGCCCAUGGUAUUUCGGAAUGUGGUGCAACAAGCUUGACUUCAACUCGAAUUCAUCGGUCUUGCCUUGGGCAGCCGCGGGGUAUUGAAUGCAUAAUGGUGCGGCAUUGGUCAACCCCGAGGCCGAAAGCUCUUUAAUGGUCCGAUUGUCCGCUGCCAUAACUUCUUCUUUCUCUUCUUCAAACUCAGAUUCGGCCUCUGAACUUGAACUAGGUUCACUAGGUUCGGGAUGCCUCCUCUUUCUUCUCAAAUUCACGUUCAAAAAUCGUUGUUAAAGUCCAAGAUAUGCACAGUUUUGAGAACUCCGCGUCAUGCAUUAGUACCUAAACCAAGGAAAACAAAACAAAAUAAGAAACUAGGUAAAUUACACUAAAAACACCACGGCAAAAACACAAGGGGGAUUAGCAAUUUGCUAAUCCCCGGCAACGGCGCCAAAAUUUGAUGUGAGAAUUUACUUGACACACAAAUUAAACCCUAUUGAUGACAAUUGUAGUAAUGAUGCAAGUAGGGAUCGUUCUAGACCGGGAUUAACUAGGGAUGCUAAUCAACAAAUAUAAGACUCAAGAAUAUAAGAAGAAACUUAAAAAACACAAAAAGUAGGUUUUUAAAACACUAAACUAGACUCAAAGAGUUCAAAACACUUUUAAGGCACAAAACUAAACCAAACUUAAACACACUUCGAUACAAGAAAGUAAAUGGGAGGUAUUGGUUUGGAUGAGAUUGAGAUAACAACAAAAAGUAAAACUAAAUAGAUGGUUGAUGGAUUAGCUAGAGAUCCAUUCUUCACACAUGACACACUUGUACAUGAAUUGAUUUCCAAUUGCUUUUCAAUAGAUUAUGAAACUUCAACACCCCCAGAUUAACCGUGAUGCACUAAUUAAUUCUCAGAUUUUCCUUGAUUUAUUGAAUUUGGAUGAAUGCAUACGACAAUCCAAAUUAUUCUCCAAAAGUCUCUACAUGAAUGCAUAAUAGAGAUACAAUUAAAGAUCAUUACGUUCUAUGAAAAUCAUAAGUGUUAACGAGGCAUUCGUAACUAUGAAUGCAUGAUACGUUUGCCAAGAAAUUCAAUUAACGCGAUUGUGACUAGCAACCUUCACUACCAAUGAAUAUAAACUUGUUAACGAUUAGGUGAAACUCAUUUAUAUCCUAGCAUGAAAUUCAUGCAUGAAAACUAAGUAUGCAUCCUUAAUAAACAUACAAGAAUUAGUUUUGAAGAAAGUAGUUAAUUGAAUUGCAUUCACAACUUAUUAAAUCACAAUUGGAAGAAAUCAAUUCAUAUCUCAAACAUGUUCAUGGCUUCGAACUUCACCCUAGCUAAGUAAGGGUUUAGUUCCUCAUACUUGCAAUUAAACAAAAACAAUUGAUAUUAAACAUAGAGAAACAAAGUAGAAGACACCUAGAAUGCUCCAACAACUCCAAUGGAAUGGCUAGCACAACUCCAAGCACUCCUCCUUCUUUGCAAGCCUUGGAACUAAUGGAAAUGUGUAUGAAUGGCUGUGUGUCAUCCUUGAAGGCUGAAUGGUGCUUAUAUAGAGGUUGGAAAUGUCAAGGCAAUUGCAAGGUAAUGGACAAGGGAAAAAAAACCCACGGCAAUGAAGGAAGAUGCUUGCCAGCUUUUUGCCUUGUGUGUGUGUGCUGUCUUUGUGCUCUUUCCACCUAGAAAAUAAUCAUGCCAAAGCCACCCAAAGCUAUAAGUGGGGAGACCAACAAGAAAUCCACUUCAUAGUGGUCCAAUUUCCUUGCUUUUUUCUGCUGUCCAUUCACUCCCCUUGUUUUAUUUCUUUUCUUUUGUUUGCUUUCAAUUCCAAUCUGCAAGUUGUCGUCAGCUAGACCUUCCCUUACUCAAAUGCCUAUAACUUCUUCUAGAAAAAUGAUAUUAACAAUCCGCGAAAUGUUCUAGAAAAUAGACAUCUGUAGCUUUCCAAGCAUAUAAGGCUCAUUCUCUAAAUUCAUUCUGAGCUGUUCGUAAUUUGCUCCCAAAGUCAGCUGAUCAAAGUUGUAGAAAAUCUGCCAACUCCAUUCCAUUGCCGUGUGUGUGUGUUUGUGUUGUCAUCAUCACUUCCCACUCUUCCAUGCUUUAAUUUCUGAUUCCUUGCUGCCCAUGUGGUGUGUGUGUUUGCUGUUUUCUUUCCUUCUUGCUGCCCAUGUGGUGUUUAUACUUGCACAUGCAUGUUCUUCAUCCAUUUAGCUAGCAUAAAACACAUUUUCUGCCAUCACAUGGCAGCUAUGAUGUUUGAAGUUGUAGGCCAACACUUUGCACACACACAUGUAGAUUUUCUAGCCCAUUGAAUCAUCAAAUUCGUCCAUCCUCAUGUCUCCAUGUUUGCACCAUCCAAUCUUGGCCCAAAAAUGCUCCAAAGUGCUCCAAAAUGCAUCUUCUUGCAUCCUUGGCCCAUAGAACCUACAAACACACAAAAAUGGCUUAAACUACUAACAUAACUAAGAACUAAGAACAUAAAUGCACGAAAACAAACAUACUAAGUCGCAUAAAUAUGCUCCUAUCAUAUCACAAAGGCUGGAAUCUAGUGCUAAAUAUCUUUCUCUAGCUAACUUCCUUGCACCUCUCUCUAGUUCAUGGUCAUAAGGAGCAAGAACUUUAUUCUUUAUAAAAAUAACGACUAAUUAAAUAAUAAUAAUAAUAAUAAUAAAAACAAAAUCUAAGUAAUUUUUUAUACCAUUCCUUGAGGAGAUCAACCUUGCUAGAGUCAUUCUAUACUAUGAUAACUUUUUCUCUUGCAAGAACUUUCCAUGGUUUAACCCUUGUUUAAUAGGUGGUAAAACCUCUAUCAAUAAAUUGGUGCCGUUGCCAGGGAUUGAAUCCGCCUAUCACGCGGGUGACCCGAGUUCGAUCUCUGGCAACGACACCAAUUACUUGAUAGAUAUUUUAUCACCUGUAAAAUAUAGGUUAAACCAUUCUUGUAAGAGAAGAAGUUAUCGUAUUAUAGAAUGGCUCUAUCAAGGUCACACUCCUCAAGGACUAGUAUAAACAAAUAACUAGUUUUGGAGUAUUAACUUGGUUAACUCUAAUAACUAGACUAAUUUAUCAAAACUAAAACCUACUGGAUGUAACUUAGAAAAAUAUCUAAAAUGGGAAUUGGUUUAUAGAAAUAAUGAUCCAACUAAACAAAACAAGUAAAUGUAGCAAUAUAAGAAAAUAAAAAUAAUUGAAGGAAACCGGAUUGACAAGGCGCUGCAAUUCAAUCUUCAACAACAACACUUCUAUGUAGCUCUUUUAGUUAUUCAAGUUAUUGAAUAUAUGCAAACUUUAAAGGUUAGGUUUUCCUUGUGUAAGUUUUACUUGUGAUAUUCAAUCUAAAACACAUACGACAACAUGCAAUUCAUCCAUGACAUUAGAUUAAAUAUAAACAUGAGUGAUUCAUUAAACUUUGUGAAAACCGUUUUGAUAACCAUAUAAUCUGUAAAAGUAUAAUAUUUACCAUAGGAGAAAUUACAAUUCUCAAUCACAAGAAGCAUAACCAAUUUUAACGUGAUAUUCAUUCAAAAUUACAUUCAACGACUUUUCGAAUCAGCCUAUUGGUGACCAAAUAUCAAGGCACUAUAAUUUAGUGAUUGAAAAUAUCAAAGUAACAUGUAACAACACUUAAGUAACCAAAAGAGAACUUUACGUAAUCAUGUUGAGGCUCACGGCCUCACUCUAGCAAAACAAAAUUAGUUAUACAUAUUUUUCUAAAUACGUACGGAAUUAUCCAUGAAGAAUCAAAGAAAGAGAUGUUCUCUUUUCACAAGAAUUCUUCCUCAGCUCUCUGAUCUCCUCCUCUGAAAAAUAACCUUCACUCUUCUUUAUUGUUAUAACCUCCCUAUUUAUAUCCCCUUCGAUGCAUACUUAAAAGGGACUCCAAUCAUUCAAACUCUGGAUCAGUUAAAGAGACUAAAAUAAAUCUUUGUUAAACUUAAACUUCCUAAUUUAAAUGGGCAAACUGAACAUCUCUUUCCUCCAAACGUUUAAUAAACCAGAAGUCAUUAGAUUUCAAUGAAUGAGGUCUCCUUCGAAAGCUUGAAAUGUUUGCUUUAAAAGCUAAAAGGAAAGUUUCCUUAAUUUAGGCUUUAAUUAUGUACUUAUCUCUCAUGCAACCUUCAAUGGUUUACACUGUCAUCUCAGCAUGCUGACUUGUCUUCUUUCUUAAACUGCGUGCAAUUGGCUGGGAAAUUUUUAGAUUAAAACAUGAUACAAUGAUCUUCAAUCCCUUGUGAAUUGGCUUCAACUGGAAUCACUAAAAAAUUCCACCAUUUGCAUUCUUUUCCAUCAAACUCGAUUAUGCUUCUCCUAGAAACACAAUAUGGCAAAAGUAUCCCAAAUACUUAAGUGGCUUGCUGACAAUUUCAUAUCAACCUGGAGCUUGAGGCAAAAGCAUUGGGAAGUCCAUCUAUUAAGUACUGGUUUAUGGUUCAUCAAGGAUUUCCUUGAGUUCUAUCUAGAUUGAACUCUUCCUCUAGAAAUGUUGCAUUUUUGGCGACAAAGACUUUCUAGUCGUCAGGAUAAUAGAAAUAGUAUCCCAAAAUUUCUUUGGCAUACCCUAUAAAGUAGCACUUUAUAGAUUUCACAUCAAGGUUGUUAGUUUGAAGCUUAUUAACAUAUGUUGGACAACCCCAAAUCUUAAGAUAAUUAAGACUAGUCUUCCUAUUGUUCCAUAUCUCAUAUGGUGUGUUCAAAACAGAUUUGGAAGGAACUUUGUUUAGUAAUUAUGAAAAUUAGAUGAAGCCUCAUCUCGACAUAGUGGAUAUGGGUCCACAUACAUCAGUAUGGAUUGACCCUAGUAACUAUGUGACUCACUCUCAUUUCCCAAUGAAUGGAGAUUUAGGCAUCUUCCCCUUUAGACAAGACUCGCAUGUAGGCAUUAAGUCAUUACCUAAUGACUUAAAGUAUCCAUCAAUGGACAUCUUCUGAAUCUUAUCUUGGUUCAUAUGUCCAAGCUUAAGGUGUCACAAUGUUACUUUGUUAACACCUUCUCUUAACCUUUUGGAUUUUGAGGUAUCUCAAGUAGUACAAUUUAAAAUACCAUUCAUGUAGAUAUUAAAAGGUCCUUCAAUCAUGCUACCAUGAUCUAUAACAUGACCGUUCAAAGGUAAAGUAGAACUCAUAUUGUCAAACAAGAUUGAGUGUCCAUCUCUCAAACGCUUGGAGAUGGAGAUUAAGUUCAUUAAACAUGACGGAAAGUAAAGACAAUGUUUAAGUUCUAAGACUUAUCCAUUUGGCAGUCCAAGAUGAUAGGCGCCUAUUGCUUUUGCAGAGAUCUUUGUGCCGUUUCAAACUUGCACAACCAUCUCUCCCUUGCGCAGUGUCCUGCUCUUUAGUAAUCCCUACAACGAAUUACAUAUAUGUUGACCAGUACCUGAAACAAAUAUCCAGGCUGAAGAGCUAACUGUGAAAGCAUUUUCUUUAACAAAAAUUAUUUCUUCAUAAGUUCUGUUUGUGAGGUUCACAAAGCGCACCCUGUAUUUCUUCUUCCAAUGAUAAUCAUUUCUGCAAUGAAAGCAUGUCCCUUUGGAGUAUCUUGCUCUCUUUUUUAUGUGACCUUUUCCUUACUAUCAUAUUCUCGCUUCCACUAUUUCUUUUGAAACAUUGUUCUAAUGUACAACGCAUGUCAAUCAUCUCUGAAAGAGAAUCAUCAAAUCCAUUCACUUUAUAGUUUACUAUAAACUAAGUGAAAUCAUUCUAGAUAGAUGCAAGGAAAAAGUUUUGGGCCAUUUUCCCAUUGAUGGAAGUUCCCAAAUUCUUUAAGUCUUAAAAGAUCUUGUCUAUCUUUUGAGCAUGUUCUUGGACCGAUGUCCCUUUGUCAUUUUUGAAUUUAAUAAACUAUAGACAUAUGAGAAAUGUACAUUACUAGUCUCUAGGUCAUGCAUCUUAUGCAAACUUUCAACCUUGGUAAGUGUCCAUGUGCUUAUGUCGCUUCUUAAGCUCCUUACUAAGUCAACUGAGGAGUAAGCAUUUGGCCUCUACGUCAUCCUCAUAGUGUCUAGUGUAACUUUUACACUCCUCCUUUGAAGCUAGUUUUGUAGGAGAUGCAUGAGAAGGGGAUUGCGUGAGCAAAUAUGAUAUGCCAUUCACCUUAGAGACAUUCUCAAUGUGAUGUUAUUGAGCAAGGAAACAUUGGCCACUAAGGCUUCUUUUGUUAAGUACUUUAUCUACAUAACAUAACAAAAACCAAAUUAGAUUGUUUGGUAAAACUAAUUGAUUUGGGGUCUUUAAAUCAAAUAGUAUCCCCCAUUAUUUUUGUCACAUUCCAUAUCCCUCAAUGGAAUCUGAGAGUUAUGUUGAACUCUUAGCGAGGUAUGGGAGACUCACUAUUACCAAGCCUACCUCAUCCUGUUUGAUUAUUGGCUAGCUUAAAUAAUAAUGAGAGGGAACAAUUUUUGCUUCUACCCAUUCACAUCUCUUGUGAUUACCCAUCUAAUUUGGGCUCUAGAGAAUCUUUGCCUAAAAAUAUCUUCUUAUUGACACCUCAUUCACUUAGUUAAGUCAUAUCCACCAUGCUUGUUCAUAUAGGGGGUUCAAGCAUGGCCACAUAACGUCUACUUAUUGGUCACACUCGUUGCCUAACUUUACAAGAUCCAAUUUAUCGAAUACCCUUCUUAAAUGCAAACACAUACUUUUCACCCUUGUAAUGUAGAGUUAAAGCACGGUGCACUUGUGUACAUUCGAAUAGAGAGUACUAUGGUGGAAGGCCAUGAAAGAGUUUUCAAAGCACCCUUCACUUCUCAACGUAAUAUGCUCGUUGUUUGAGGGAAUUACCUUAGGCUACAUCAAUUCAAUUUAUCUCAUUGAAAGGGACAUAGUGAAGGAAAUUUUGUGAAAAACAUGUUCAUUUAAGCAACAUCUAUAGCAUGCAAUUAACAAUUAAAAGGCGGAAUCAUGCUUGUAUGCACUUAAAAACAAAACAUUAACCAUGAAAUUCAAAGCCUAGUAGAUUGGUGAACCUUGACUCAACUUAAAACAACAUUUGUUAGUUGAGAAAUUAUACCUUUGUAGAUUCCUCUUUGCAUAAGCAAAGGCUAAUCACCCAAAGAGAGGGCCUUCAUUCCUUGGAUCUUAGAUCUAUGGAUUUGGAUGGAUGAAAAUGGUUCUCCAAGUUCCCAAAAUUGAGAACCUCUAAGUCUCUUCACCAAGGUUAGAUUGGAGAAGAAAUGAGUGACCUUGGAGUAGUAGGAUUGCUAGCUAAACCCUCCAAGGAGGCCGGCCACUUUAGAGAGAAAGGAGAGCGUAUGUUCUCAUCCUUUCCCCAAAAGAAAACCCUUAAAUGAAUUUUGGCUAUAAAGUCAUAUUUAUACCUUUAUUCAUUGGAGUGGCAAACUUGUAAUUAAGUCCAAAACCCACUCCUUUAACUAAAUGGCCGGCCUUAGGGUAUUAUUGGGCUAAUUGGGCCUUUGUGAAUCAUUAUUCAUUAAGUUGUCAUACAACUUAAUUCAAUGGGCUUGACGUUCAAAGCCCAUUGGGCCUUAAGGUCCAAAAACUAUCCCGAGGUCUUUAACGAACUUAUUCGUUUGAUUAAUUAACAUAUUAAUUAAUCCUUGCCAUAAAUAAUUAAACCAUUUAAUUAUUCUUACUCAUCUCCAUUGUUUCUUCAAUCUCCACCUUACACAGUGUACGAUCCAUUAGGUUCCUUUUAGCGAGGCAGUGGGCGAUUAAAACCAUUUCAAAUCGAUUGUGAAUUGAAACUUACUUUCAAUUCUCCCUUUAGUGAUUAUACACGUUUAGGGCUUCCACAAACCAUGAGUGACACCUAGCAGCAUAUCACGUUUAGGAUGUGUCUACGAAAGAAUGGUCUCAUGAAUCUAACUUCUUUAGAUUGCAUUCUCCCAAUCACAUAUUCCUUGGACUUAUCAUUUAAGCAUAUAACAUUUAUAUGAGACGGCUCAAACAAUAAUCUUUGCCCUUUAUAUUUAAACUACAUUAGUUUAACUUUGUGAAAUGUCCGUAAAGUAUCAUCAUAUGAUUGGUUUUAGGGCACAUUUCCAUCAAUCUCCCACUUGCACUAGAGCCAAUCAGCUUGGUCAUCAGUGAUGAUACCUCUUCUGUAGUCAUUUCAUAAAUGGCUGAGUAGUAGGCCUAGACAAUGGAUAUCUAUAUGUUAUCCAUAGAAGCAACCUUGAGAAUAACGACGUCACCAUUAUACAUGAUUCUCAAUCAUGUGGUUCAGUCUCUCAUAUGAGUUCAGAUCUUGAUGAGACCUUGAUUCCCUGGCUUGAGCUAUUGCCCCAUUAGUGUCAUAGUGUCAGUACACUAGAUACACUUUUUUGUUGGAACCGAAUAGAGAGUUCAUAAAUGAACUUUCCCAUCCAACAACAUUGUUGUAAGCUUCUAUAUGGCAAUAUAUUUUGCAUUCAUAAUGGAACAUACUAAAGUCAUUACUUUUAAUGUUUCCAUCCAAAUAUCUCUUUAGUCAUAAUAAAGAGAUAUCUGAUUAUCUCUUCAUUCAUAAUGAAGAAACAUCCAAUGAUGGAUUAGAUUCAUAAUCUAAUACAUUUACGCUUCCAUUAUGUUACUCUAAUUCUUCCUCAAUUAUUGAGGAAUCUAUCCUUUUGUAUUUCUUAAAUACUUAAGGACUCACUUGACAGUUGCCAUGGUUCUGAUCCUGGGCUUGUACUGAUAUCGUCUUGUACCGUUCUAGAUGCAACUCAUAUCAAUGUUUUUCAUACAAUAUGAAAUACAUAAAUCACCUUUAUGCGUAUGCAUAAAGGAUUCUAUUUACGCAUUAUUUCUUUGGGAGUCAAAGAGUACGUUCUCUUUGAGAAGAGCAACUUCUUAGUCUCACUAGAGUUGUCCUUCUAAUUGAAGUUUAUCAUCAUAUGAGAAACUUCCUAGCACCUAUUGUCUAUUAUUAGGGAUUGAUAUAAUCCGAUUAUAUCAUGAAAUAUAUCAUUAUAGAUUUCCAUCCCAUGUAUAUAGACUAUAUCUCCCAUAUACAUUCUAUCUUCAUAUAAUGUUUUAAAGUCAUAACUUUAACGAAGAAGAAUUCUUUUCAUUUCCAAAAUUAAUAUAUCAUAUAUAUUAAAUUUUAGGAACAUGAUUAACUCCCAUAUACAUUCUAUCGUUAUAGAAUGUUUACAGUCAUAACUUUAACGAAGAAGUAUUCUUUUCAUUUCCAAAAUUAAUAUAUCAUAUAUAUUUAAAUUUUAGGAACAUGAUUAACUCCCACUAAUCUUUUGUAAACCUAGUAAACAAAAGAUUCAUUUACAUCUUUAUGAGAAAUCAAACGAUUUGAUCCUUUUUCUCAUAAGAUGCUUAUAGCUCCCACUAGCUUGCUAAGAUUCAUGAUGGAUGGAUCUCUACAACUUACAUAUCUUGUGAUUUAUAGUUUUAGACAUAUAUUAUCAAGACUAUCUUAAUAAUGGUUUCGGAAACCCAUAUUAUGUCCAAACAUUGAAUCACCAUUUAGUUGUAGCUAGCAAUCUUCGAAUUAAUUGAAACCAAGACUAUCUCAAAGAUGGUUUCUUCAAAAGUCAACCAUUCUCUUUGAUUGUAGUCACCUUAAGCUACCAAUUAGCUUAUGAAGGUUUCAUUAUUUCGGGUCAAAUGGUACUUUACCAUUUCCUUGAGUAUAUAUCAUAUAUACACUCAAUGUAGUCAUAAGGAUUUUCAUUCUUAUUUCUUUCGAAUUAAGAGGUGCAACUCUAUGACAUAGUCAUAAAGUUCAAACCAUUCAACUAAGACGGUUUAUAAAUCCUUCUCGACUACCUUGGAGCUUUUGGUAUAGGAACUAGGUUGUUAUAUUUGUUGAUUAUUAUCUUGUCUUUCAAAGAACCCAUUCUUUGAGUUCUAUCUCUCGUUCAUUUGCGCUUAGGCAAAUCACAUUGUAGGAUUACAAUGAACUACCCAACAAAACAACAUUUGUUAGUUGGUUUAUAGA